CCUACGGGGGGCAGCAGUGAGGAAUAUUGGUCAAUGGGCGGAAGCCUGAACCAGCCAAGUAGCGUGCAGGAUGACGGCCCUACGGGUUGUAAACUGCUUUUAUACGGGAAUAACGAGCCUUACGUGUAGGGCUUUGCAUGUACCGUAUGAAUAAGGACCGGCUAAUUCCGUGCCAGCAGCCGCGGUAAUACGGAAGGUCCGGGCGUUAUCCGGAUUUAUUGGGUUUAAAGGGAGCGCAGGCCGCAUGUCAAGCGUGUUGUGAAAUGUCCGGGCUCAACCCGGGCCUUGCAGCGCGAACUGGCGUGCUUGAGUCCGCGGAAAGCAGGCGGAAUGCGUGGUGUAGCGGUGAAAUGCUUAGAUAUGACGAAGAACCCCGAUUGCGAAGGCAGCAUGCUGCAGCGGAACUGACGCUGAUGCUCGAAAGCGCGGGUAUCGAACAGGAUUAGAUACCCCUGUAGUC
rnacentral:rRNA from 1 species